rnacentral:rRNA from 1 species
AACGAACGCUGGCGGCAUGCCUAACACAUGCAAGUCGAACGAUCCCUUCGGGGAUAGUGGCGCACGGGUGCGUAACGCGUGGGAAUCUGCCCUUGGCUUCGGAAUAACAGUUAGAAAUGACUGCUAAUACCGGAUGAUGUCUUCGGACCAAAGAUUUAUCGGCCAGGGAUGAGCCCGCGUAGGAUUAGGUAGUUGGUGAGGUAAAGGCUCACCAAGCCGACGAUCCUUAGCUGGUCUGAGAGGAUGAUCAGCCACACUGGGACUGAGACACGGCCCAGACUCCUACGGGAGGCAGCAGUGGGGAAUAUUGGACAAUGGGCGCAAGCCUGAUCCAGCAAUGCCGCGUGAGUGAUGAAGGCCUUCGGGUCGUAAAGCUCUUUUACCAGGGAUGAUAAUGACAGUACCUGGAGAAUAAGCUCCGGCUAACUCCGUGCCAGCCGCCGCAGUAAUAC